AGAGAAAACAAGGGGGGGGGGGGGGGGUGAGGGGUGGAGGGAAUUGAGUCUUUCUUUUUCCCUUUUCAAUGACGGGGAACUUCCUCAUUGGCAAACUGAUUAAACACGCCCACCUCCGUGUAGCCAGUCCAACCCACUGUCCACUCACUUCCCUUUGGCAAGAAAAGCUGGGCACAUACCCCAGCACAGACACCCACAACCCCACCCAGUAAGAAGCAGAAGCUGAUUUUAUCUCUAAAUCAGGCUAAUGAUAAAAAUACCAGCAACUGCUCCGAUAUCAACACGAAAAAGACCUCAAUAGCAACCUGAUGUGUGAAUGUGGCGUCUUCAAACAGCUCUCUCUUGGCUUCUGCUCCAAGAAGCGGAGAAGGCAGCAGGCAGCAGCUUCAGUUUCUAAUGGACCCCAGCCACUUGGGGAACUACAAGAAAGAGAAAUGUAAUGAGUGACAAUGUUUUGUCAAAAACUGGCUACAGAUGUAAUAGGGAGAGCACUGUCCUUGGCGUUUUCUGCAUCUGAAAUCAAGCUCCGUAACCAAUACGACGACAUAGCUUUGAGCAUGUGACUUCAUCUCCAAGCCUCUGUGUACACAUCUGCAAGAAUGCGAUAAACUGAGGAACCACUUCUCAGAGAUGUGAAAGUACACCUUCCACAGGCCCGGAUGUUCACACAUACAGAGCAAAGAGGGGAGUGAGGCUUCCCCUCGCAAGGGCAAGUGGAAGGAUCUUCUGUCUACUGCAGCAAAAGAACAAAAGCAGACAAAAAGGAGGGCAUAGGGACGAGGUGUCCUAAUUCGCCUCAUCUGGAAAGCUGAGGGACAUCCAGUAGGAAAUCCUGGUUUCACUUGGGCCUCAAUUCCCAUCCCAACUAACGGGUGCCUGCUCUUCCGUACUGAUGUUUCUUCAGACAAACUCAGUGCGUCUCUAUUUGCCUGCGAAGACCUGCCCCUCACUCACCCCCCAGCUCCCACCUCUUCUUGAAAACGGUUUCUGAUGAUCUGACCUACUGCUGGAUCAGGCAUUCCCCUCUGUCUUCUCAUAAUCUGUCCCCAUGAACCUCUCACGUAACCUUCGUCACACCCCGAUAAAGAAGUUGGUCCUCUUACGCUUAUCCCUCCUCUAUAAAACCAGAAUGAGAUCUGCCUGACCUUCCCUGCAGGAAGCUGAUAUGCAUCAGGUGGAAAUUAUAACAACACAGCAACAAUUCGAGCUUGUACUUCUACACAACUGUGCAUUUAGAAGUCUUCUCUCCUUUAUUCUGUGAGACAGCCCCUUAGAACAACAGAGCACUAGAUAAAACUAAGGUGAAAUCAGGACCAUUAUUAACUAAUGCCAACUUCUAGGUUAUCUGGGCUUGGAUUGCGGCAGCUUACUUCAAAAUGCUGAUGGAAUCAUCAACUAUCUUUUUUGCCAAAUGUGAACCAGGGCUGCCAUCAGCCAAGAAUGGCCUGUCGAUUACAGAGAAUACGUCUAAAUGUCAUCCUCCUCAAAAGAGCUUUGGGCAAAGGACCUGCUCUAGCGGCAGCCAAUUCAUUCAUUAAGGAAAUUGAUUCUACCACGAAUCUAACACACUUAGGUGAUUAAGAAAGCAUCAUGUUCUUCAGCAACACACCUCCUGCCAGGGCCUUCCAUCAGCGGCCCAUCUCUGCCUAGCAGGGACACCACAGCAAGAACAGGCCUUGCCCUGUAUGGGUGAACCCACGGAGAGCUCCUCAUCUGGCAACGGGGCUGCGUGCUUCAUUUCCUUUCUUUUCCUUGGCAGGGGUGGGGGAUGGGGGGCUCAAUUCAAAAAACCUUAAGCAACUUAAUAGAAAAAAAAGUGUAAUUAUCUCUAAGUUUUAUCACUCCAAAUUCUUACUCAUUGUCUAAUAAAUAUACACUCGUAUCUAUGUCUUCUAAACAUUUUCUCAGAUUUUUUUAAAAUGCUGAUUUUCAAUAUAGUCUACACACUUGCCAGGUUUUAGCUAAAUUACUUCCCAUUGUUUCAACAAUUCAUAAUUGCACUGCCAUUUCUCCGUUGUUAGCAGAGCCUUUGAGUUAGUUCCCCAGUAUUUCACUAUAACUCACAUCUGUGCUUUUUUUUUUUUUUUAAUGUUUAUUUA